rnacentral:rRNA from 1 species
UACGUAGGGUGCAAGCGUUGUCCGGAAUUAUUGGGCGUAAAGAGCUCGUAGGCGGUCUGUCGCGUCUGCUGUGAAAACUCAGGGCUUAACCCUGAGCUUGCAGUGGGUACGGGCAGACUAGAGUGCGGUAGGGGAGACUGGAAUUCCUGGUGUAGCGGUGAAAUGCGCAGAUAUCAGGAGGAACACCGGUGGCGAAGGCGGGUCUCUGGGCCUUACCUGACACUGAGGAGCGAAAGCGUGGGGAGCGAACAGG